UAAGGAGCAGGUAGGGGUUAGACAGUACAGAGACAGGUCAUUAAGGAGCAGGUAGGGGUUAGACAGUACAGAGACAGGUCAUUAAGGAGCAGGUAGGGGUUAGACAGUACAGAGACAGGUCAUUAAGGAGCAGGUAGGGGUUAGACAGUACAGAGACAGGUCAUUAAGGAGCAGGUAGGGGUUAGACAGCACAGAGACAGGUCAUUAAGGAGCAGGUAGGGGUUAGACAGUACAGAGACAGGUCAUUAAGGAGCAGGUAGGGGUUAGACAGUACAGAGACAGGUCAUUAAGGAGCAGGUAGGGGUUAGACAGCACAGAGACAGGUCAUUAAGGAGCAGGUAGGGGUUAGACAGCACAGAGACAGGUCAUUAAGGAGCAGGUAGGGGUUAGACAGUACAGAGACAGGUCAUUAAGGAGCAGGUAGGGGUUAGACAGCAC
ensembl:lncRNA